rnacentral:rRNA from 1 species
CUGGGCCUACGGGAGGCAACAGUGGGGAAUAUUGCGCAAUGGGCGAAAGCCUGACGCAGCGACGCCGCGUGAGGGAUGAAGGUCUUCGGAUCGUAAACCUCUGUCAGCAGGGAAGAACGGUCACUGUGCUAAUCAGCAGUGAAUUGACGGUACCUGCAAAGGAAGCACCGGCUAACUCCGUGCCAGCAGCCGCGGUAAUACGUAGGGAGCGAGCGUUGUCCGGAAUUACUGGGCGUAAAGGGCGCGUAGGCGGGAACUUAAGUUAGAUGUGAAAACUCCGGGCUCAACCUGGAGACUGCAUUUAA